rnacentral:rRNA from 1 species
UGCCAGCCGCCGCGGUAACACAGAGGGUGCAAACGUUGCUCGGAAUUACUGGGCGUAAAGCGCGUGUAGGCGGACCCGCAAGUCGGGUGUGAAAUCCCUGGGCUCAACCUAGGAACUGCACCUGAAACUGCUGGUCUUGAGUGUCGGAGAGGGAAGCGGAAUUCCCGGUGUAGAGGUGAAAUUCGUAGAUAUCGGGAGGAACAUCAGAGGCGAAGGCGGCUUCCUGGACGACAACUGACGCUGAGACGCGAAAGCGUGGGGAGCAAACAGGAUUAGAUA